AUGAAAAUGAUUUCUGAAAAUGUUACAAUGAGAAAUUUUCUCUUCUGCCAGAUUAUAGUGGGAGUGCUUGGCAAUUUCUCAAUACUAUUUUAUCAUGUCAUUUUGAUAUUCAUUGGAAAGCAUUUACUGCCCUAAGACUUGAUUAUAGAGCACUUGACUUUUGCCAACUGCUUGUCUAUCAUCUUAAGAGGCAUUCCAAGGACAAUGUCAUAUUUUGGAUUUAAUGUUUUUCUGGAUGACAUUGGAUGUAAAUUGAUCAUGUAUAUUUCCCGAAUAACAAGAGGUAUGUCCAUGUAUGCCACAUGCAUAUUGAGUUGUUUUCAAGCCAUCACAAUCAGAUCCAGCAACUUCAAGUGAAUGAAGCUUAAGUACAGAGCCACCAAGUACAUUGGUCCCUUCUGCAUAGUCUCUUGGCUUUUCCACCUGCUUCUAAACAUUUUGAUUCCAGCAAGAGUAUCAGGCCAGUUACAAGGAAAUGUGACUAACAGGUUGAACUAUGAAUACUGUUCAUUAUUUACUUCUGAUCAUGUGGGAGCUGCACUCUAUAUGUUCUUAUUGUGCUUCUCAGAUGUCUUAUGUCUAAGUCUCAUGGCCUGCUCAAGUGUCUCCAUGGUCAGUACCCUUUACAAACAUAAGAGACAAGUUAGGAAUAUUCACAGUGCUCAACACUUUCAGAAAGUCUCACCUGAAGACAGAGCA
rnacentral:lncRNA from 1 species